UACGUAGGGUGCAAGCGUUGUCCGGAAUUAUUGGGCGUAAAGAGCUCGUAGGCGGUUUGUCGCGUCUGCUGUGAAAACUCGGGGCUUAACUCCGGGCCUGCAGUGGGUACGGGCAGACUAGAGUGCGGUAGGGGAGCGUGGAAUUCCUGGUGUAGCGGUGAAAUGCGCAGAUAUCAGGAGGAACACCAGCGGCGAAGGCGGCGCUCUGGGCCGGUACUGACGCUGAGGAGCGAAAGCGUGGGGAGCAAACAGG
rnacentral:rRNA from 1 species